CUACGGGACGCACCAGUGAGGAAUAUUGCACAAUGGGGGGAACCCUGAUGCAGCAACGCCGCGUGGAGGAUGACGCAUUUCGGUGUGUAAACUCCUUUUAUAUGUCAAGAAAAUGACGGUAGCAUAUGAAUAAGCACCGGCUAGACUCCGUGCCAGCGAGCCGCGGUAAUACGGAGGGUGCAAGCGUUACUCGGAAUCACUGGGCGCAAAGGACGCGUAGGCGGGUUGGAAAGUCAGGUGUGAAAUCCUACAGCUUAACUGUAGAACUGCACUUGAAACUUCUAAUCUAGAGUAUGGGAGGGGGAGAUGGAAUUAGUGGUGUAGGGGUAAAAUCCGUAGAUAUCACUAGGAAUACCUAAAGCGAAGGCGAUCUCCUGGAACAUUACUGACGCUAAGGCGUGAAAGCGUGGGGAGCAAACAGGAUUAGAUACCCGUGUAGUC
rnacentral:rRNA from 1 species